rnacentral:rRNA from 1 species
UACGUAGGCAGCAAGCGUUGUUCGGAGUUACUGGGCGUAAAGGGUGCGUAGGCGGCUUUUUAAGUCUGGUGUGAAAUCUCCCGGCUCAACUGGGAGGGUGCGCCGGAUACUGAGGGGCUAGAGUGUGGGAGAGGAAAGUGGAAUUCCUGGUGUAGCGGUGAAAUGCGUAGAUAUCAGGAGGAACACCGGUGGUGUAAACGGCUUUCUGGGCUGUAACUGACACUGAGGAACGAAAGCUAGGGUAGCGAAUGGG